AUUGAACGCUGGCGGCAUGCUUUACACAUGCAAGUCGAACGGUAACAGGCCUUCGGGUGCUGACGAGUGGCGAACGGGUGAGUAAUGCAUCGGAACGUGCCCAGAGGUGGGGGAUAACGCAGCGAAAGCUGUGCUAAUACCGCAUGUGAUCUGAGGAUGAAAGCGGGGGACCAGGCAGCAAUGUUUGGCCUCGCGCCUUUGGAGCGGCCGAUGUCAGAUUAGGUAGUUGGUGGGGUAAAGGCCUACCAAGCCGACGAUCUGUAGCUGGUCUGAGAGGACGACCAGCCACACUGGGACUGAGACACGGCCCAGACUCCUACGGGAGGCAGCAGUGGGGAAUUUUGGACAAUGGGCGCAAGCCUGAUCCAGCAAUGCCGCGUGCGGGAAGAAGGCCUUCGGGUUGUAAACCGCUUUUGUACGGAACGAAAAGGCUCUGGCUAAUACCUGGGGCUGAUGACGGUACCGUAAGAAUAAGCACCGGCUAACUACAUG
rnacentral:rRNA from 1 species